AAGUCGUAACAAGGUCUCCGUAGGUGAACCUGCGGAGGGAUCAUUACUGAGUGAGGGCUCACGCCCGACCUCCAACCCUUUGUGAACACAUCUUGUUGCUUCGGGGGCGACCCUGCCGGCACUUUGUCGCCGGGCGCCCCCGGAGGUCUUCAAACACUGCAUCAAUGCGUCGGAGUUCAAAACAAAUUAAACAAAACUUUCAACAACGGAUCUCUUGGUUCUG
rnacentral:misc_RNA from 1 species